rnacentral:tRNA from 1 species
GAGGGUAUCGCUCAGGGGUAGAGCACGUGCUUAGCAUGCAUGAGGUCCUGGGUUCAAUCCCAGUACUUCCA